UACAGAGGGGGCAAGCGUUGUUCGGAAUUACUGGGCGUAAAGGGCGCGUAGGCGGCCUUCUAAGUCGAACGUGAAAUCCCUGGGCUCAACCCAGGAACUGCGUCCGAUACUGGAAGGCUUGAAUCCGGGAGAGGGAUGCGGAAUUCCAGGUGUAGCGGUGAAAUGCGUAGAUAUCUGGAGGAACACCGGUGGCGAAGGCGGCAUCCUGGACCGGUAUUGACGCUGAGGCGCGAAAGCAUGGGGAGCGAACAGG
rnacentral:rRNA from 1 species